GCAGGUGUAAUUCAAUGGUAGAAUAUGGCCUUGCCAAGGCUAGUAUGCGGGUUCGAUUCCCGUCACCUGCU
rnacentral:tRNA from 1 species